CACCCGCGCCGCCGCACCACCUUCCUCCCUGCACCGCUGGACCAUCCCAAAUCGACCAACCGCCCCGACUCACCCUGGCGGCCGUCUCCCCCACUGCCCCACGGAGCCCUCCCUAGCGCCACCGCACACCCGGCCACGAGCCAUCCGAGAAGCAAACCUCCCCAGCUCCCGCGCAUCCAUCCUCGCGUCACCCCGCGCGCUCCACAUGGUCGGCCACCUCUGACGCUGCGGCACCGUCACCGGCGUCCCGCUAAGCCCCGACCACCGCCUCCACCGCGGCCGAAAGAAUUGGCAGCCCCGUCCAUGCCUCGAUUCGAAGGAGGCGAGGCCGAUGGUGCCGGCGGAGGCUGCUCCAGCAUGGAAAAUAGCAGAGACAGCGACGUGCACGGAGACCCCUCCCUCUACUCCCUUCCCCAACCGCCAUCUAUGGAGGUGCUGUAAUGGCGCUUCCGGCAAGCUCAUUCUCUAGUGGAACAGCUCGCCCCACCCUCUGCUCUCCUCUGCAUGGUUCCAGGGUAGCGCGAAGAUCCUUUCAUCCGGGAGGCAGAGGGGCUCCGGGCCGCCACUGCCGACCACACGCGGCCACCACCUCCACGAAGGGUGCUCCGGGCCACCACCACCGGCGCCGCGCCCUUGCCUUCCCCACUGGAUGCAGCCUCGCCAUCGGGCUAGGCCACAGGCAUAGAGAAGGAAGGAGAAGUUCUCCUAUCCGGCGCCGCUCCCAACCAGUACCGAUCUGGUUCCCCUCCCCCUCGACGAGCUCCUCCCUGUCUGCUACUGCUUCUGGUUGCAGCUCCAUUGAAUAUGUUUUGAAGCUCAC